AUACGGAAGGUCCGGGCGUUAUCCGGAUUUAUUGGGUUUAAAGGGAGCGCAGGCGGAGAUGCAAGCGUGACGUCAAAUUUCGGGGCUCAACCCCGUCUCGCGUCGCGAACUGCGUCCCUUGGUUGCGGGAAGGGGAGGCGGAACUCGUGGUGUAGCGGUGAAAUGCAUAGAUAUCACGAAGAACUCCGAUCGCGAAGGCAGCCUUCCGGCCCGUCAACGACGCUCAUGCUCGAAGGUGCGGGUAUCAAACAGGAUUAGAUACCCUGGUAGUCCGCACAGUAAACGAUGAUGGCUAACCGCUGGUUUAUUCGGAUCAGUGGCCAAGCGAAAGCGAUAAGCCAUCCACCUGGGGAGUACGACCGCAAGGUUGAAACUUAAAUGAAUUGGCGGGG
rnacentral:rRNA from 1 species